rnacentral:lncRNA from 1 species
GGGGAUUUCAUCGAUGUCGCCUCCAUUUUCUUGGUGAACCCACAUUUCCCUCUUAAGGUUUGUGUUUUCCCCUUUUGAUAGUAUUUUUUAUUUUCUUGCUUGAGCCACAAAUUCUACUUCUGCAGAUUGUUUACUUUAUCCUUGCUGCAUCGGCCUUGCAUAUGGCCAUUGGGUACUGAUCGCCUCCAUGUCUUUGGUGAGCCCCCAUAGCUCUUGGUCUUUUGAUUUUGUUUAGUUUGUUAGAUUUAUGAAGAGCUCUUCUAUUCCAAAUUGAGAAACCUAUGCUACUUUCCUAUGUUGGUCCAAAAGGCCAUUUGUUUGAUAGCAAUUUGAUAUCAGCAAAGUCUUUGGCCAAAACUGCAUUUGAUUCGGUUCAGUUUGUGUUGUAGAUAUUUGAUAGGUAAUUUUGUAUCUUUACGUGCCCAGGUACAUUCUGAAGGAGAAGAUUGCUGGUCGAGAAGGUCAUUUAUCUGAUAUUAGUUUAUUGAAGAAAUUGGCAAGGAUGUAUUUUCAGUACAUUAGGAUUUUUUGUAGUCACAUGGUUCUGAUAGGAAGAUACCGUUGCUACCAGGUCAACAAUCUCCCCUUCAAUAAUAUUUGAUUUACAUUUUGUAUGCCCCAUAUGGAUGUAUUUUGUAGUCGCA